rnacentral:piRNA from 1 species
AAGCAUGGGUAGCCUUAUGAUGCAGGUC